UACGAAGGGGGCGAGCGUUGCUCGGAAUCACUGGGCGUAAAGCGCACGUAGGCGGCUUGUUAAGUCAGGGGUGAAAUCCUGGAGCUCAACUCCAGAACUGCCUUUGAUACUGGCGAGCUUGAGUUCGGGAGAGGUGAGUGGAACUGCGAGUGUAGAGGUGAAAUUCGUAGAUAUUCGCAAGAACACCAGUGGCGAAGGCGGCUCACUGGCCCGAUACUGACGCUGACGGUGCGAAAGCGUGGGGAGCAAACAGGG
rnacentral:rRNA from 1 species